CCAUGAACUGGGCUCAGUUGGUUAGAGUGUGGUGCUGAUAACACCAAGGUGGCAAGUUUGAUUCCUGUAUGGG